GAUGAACGCUGGCGGCGUGCCUAAUACAUGCAAGUCGAGCGAAUGGAUUGAGAGCUUGCUCUUAUGAAGUUAGCGGCGGACGGGUGAGUAACACGUGGGUAACCUGCCCAUAAGACUGGGAUAACUCCGGGAAACCGGGGCUAAUACCGGAUAACAUUUUGAACCGCAUGGUUCGAAAUUGAAAGGCGGCUUCGGCUGUCACUUAUGGAUGGACCCGCGUCGCAUUAGCUAGUUGGUGAGGUAACGGCUCACCAAGGCAACGAUGCGUAGCCGACCUGAGAGGGUGAUCGGGCACACUGGGACUGAGACACGGCCCAGACUCCUACGGGAGGCAGCAGUAGGGAAUCUUCCGCAAUGGACGAAAGUCUGACGGAGCAACGCCGCGUGAGUGAUGAAGGCUUUCGGGUCGUAAAACUCUGUUGUUAGGGAAGAACAAGUGCGAGUUGAAUAAGCUGGCACCUUGACGGUACCUAACCAGAAAGCCACGGCUAACUACGUGCCAGCAGCCGCAGUAA
rnacentral:rRNA from 1 species